rnacentral:tRNA from 1 species
GCCUGGGUGGCUCAGUCGGUUGAGCGUCCGACUUCAGCUCAGGUCACGAUCUCGCAGUCGUGAGUUCGAGCCCCGCGUCGGGCU